rnacentral:rRNA from 1 species
UACGGGAGGCAGCAGUGGGGAAUAUUGCACAAUGGGCGCAAGCCUGAUGCAGCCAUGCCGCGUGUAUGAAGAAGGCCUUCGGGUUGUAAAGUACUUUCAGUCGUGAGGAAGGUGUUAAGGUUAAUAACCUUAGCAAUUGACGUUAGCGACAGAAGAAGCACCGGCUAACUCCGUGCCAGCAGCCGCGGUAAUACGGAGGGUGCGAGCGUUAAUCGGAAUUACUGGGCGUAAAGGGCACGCAGGCGGUUAAUUAAGUUGGAUGUGAAAUCCCCGGGCUUAACCUGGGAAUGGCAUUCAAGACUGGUUAGCUAGAGUCUUGUAGAGGGGGUAGAAUUCCAUGUGUAGCGGUGAAAUGCGUAGAGAUGUGGAGGAAUACCGGUGGCGAAAGGCGGCCCCUGGACAAAGGACUGACGCUCAUGUGCGAAAGCGUGGGGAGCAAAAC